CCUCCGAUAGCUCAAUUGGUAGAGCGGAGGACUGGAGUUACAAAAGCAGAGUUCCUUAGGUCACUGGUUCAAAUCUGUCUCUAAGGA
rnacentral:tRNA from 1 species